rnacentral:rRNA from 1 species
CCUACGGGAGACUGCAGUGAGGAAUAUUGGUCAAUGGACGAGAGUCUGAACCAGCCAAGUAGCGUGAAGGCUGACUGCCCUAUGGGUUGUAAACUUCUUUUAUAUGGGAAUAAAAUGUUCCACGUGUGGGAUUUUGUAUGUACCAUAUGAAUAAGGAUCGGCUAACUCCGUGCCAGCAGCCGCGGUAAUACGGAGGAUCCGAGCGUUAUCCGGAUUUAUUGGGUUUAAAGGGAGCGUAGGUGGAUUGUUAAGUCAGUUGUGAAAGUUUGCGGCUCAACCGUAAAAUUGCAGUUGAAACUGGCAGUCUUGAGUACAGUAGAGGUGGGCGGAAUUCGUGGUGUAGCGGUGAAAUUCUUAGAUAGCACGAAGAACUCCGAUUGCGAAGGCAGUUCACUGGACUGCAACUGACACUGAGGCUCGAAAGUGUGGGUAUCAAACAGGAUUAGAUACCCGGGUAGUC